rnacentral:lncRNA from 1 species
UUCACUUUGCUGCUUGCUGUACAGACUGUGCCACGCAGGCUGGCUAGGUCGCUCUCACAAAGGGGACUUACUUCCAUGGAGGAGCAAGGAGAGAUGAAGGCUGCCUCUGGAUCAGACAAAGGCAAACAGCAAGCACCAAGUGAUUUUUUUUGCAGAAGUUGGUUUUAAGAAGAAAAGCCAGGAGGCUGUACUAAGAUGAAUUGGAUUCCUGAGCUCUGCCAAAUGUUGGGCUGUGGGUCUCUGUGUCUGUUCCCAUCAGUUGCUGGAUGAAGCCUCUCCGAUGACAGUUGACCUCGAGAACCAAUCUAUGAGUAUUGCAGAAUAUCAUUACAAAUUAUUUCACUUGUGGCAUCCAAACCACAACUAAGUCUGAGUAUUGGGUGAAAGCCUGGAGAUUUAAUUAAAAGACGAGACAUCCGGCUGCUCAUGCUAUGUGCAUCUG